rnacentral:rRNA from 1 species
CCUACGGGUGGCAGCAGUGAGGAAUAUUGGUCAAUGGGCUUACGCCUGAACCAGCCAAGUCGCGUGAGGGAAGACUGCCCUAUGGGUUGUAAACCUCUGUUGUCAGGGAGCAACGCCGGCUACGUGUAGCCGGACUGAGAGAACCUGAAGAAAAAGCAGCGGCUCACGCCGUGCCAGCAGCCGCGGUAAUACGGAGGCUGCGAGCGUGAGCCGGAUUGAUUGGGGUGAACGGGGGCGUAGGCGGAAUGCCAAGUCCGCGGUAAAAUCGCGGGGCUCAACCUCGCUCCGCCGUUGAAACUGGCGUUCUUGAGUGGGCGAGAAGUAUGCGGAAUGCGUGGUGUAGCGGUGAAAUGCAUAGAUAUCACGCAGAACUCCGAUUGCGAAGGCAGCUUACCGGCGCCCACCUGACGCUGACGCACGAAAGCGUGGGUAUCGAACAGGAUUAGAUACCCUAGUAGUC